rnacentral:rRNA from 1 species
GACGAACGCUGGCGGCGUGCCUAAUACAUGCAAGUAGAACGCUGAAGGAAGGAGCUUGCUCUUUCUGGAUGAGUUGCGAACGGGUGAGUAACGCGUAGGUAACCUGCCUGGUAGCGGGGGAUAACUAUUGGAAACGAUAGCUAAUACCGCAUAAAAUUGAUUAUUGCAUGAUAGUCAAUUAAAAGGUGCAACUGCGCCACUACCAGAUGGACCUGCGUUGUAUUAGCUAGUUGGUGGGGUAACGGCUCACCAAGGCGACGAUACAUAGCCGACCUGAGAGGGUGAUCGGCCACACUGGGACUGAGACACGGCCCAGACUCCUACGGGAGGCAGCAGUAGGGAAUCUUCGGCAAUGGACGGAAGUCUGACCGAGCAACGCCGCGUGAGUGAAGAAGGUUUUCGGAUCGUAAAGCUCUGUUGUAAGAGAAGAACGAGUGUGAGAGUGGAAAGUUCACACUGUGACGGUAUCUUACCAGAAAGGGACGGCUAACUACGU